CCCAUAGCUCAGUUGGUUAGAGCAGAGGACUCAUAAUCCUUUGGUCCACGGUUCGAGUCCGUGUGGG
rnacentral:tRNA from 1 species